GCCUCCUGUGUCCGCGACACGAAGAGACGCGAAACCCGCACCGCUCGUGUUAGGCUGAUGUAAAUGCAGUCGCUCUUCUUGUGGUCAUAACGCUGUAGCUCUGGGCUGUUUCUGUGUCAUAUGUCGAUAAUGCUGCAAUGACCUGCAGGUCAGGACAGGGUGUUCAUCAAAGAUGGAGGUUACUAUGAGGGCAAGUGUGUCAAUGGAGAAAUUAUGGGGAAUGGAUUUCAACACUGGGCAUCCACAGCCUGUGGAAGUUCUGGAGAAAAGCAUGUUGGAGAAGAUAUUUCUGUGGAGAGGACCACAGUGGAACAGAUACUAACACUGCAGCCCAUGAAGGACCUCAUGCCAGAGCAGCUGUGAGCAGUCAUCAUUUGGAGAUCUGGGCUGGCACUGGAAACCACGAAGCCCCAUCAAGUUCUGCUACCAACUUAUUUGAGUUGAUUGAAGAAACUGAGAGGAAAACGGUUAACUUCUGUGAAUUCUGGAUUUCACUGUCUGAUUCACCAGUCCCUAAGGGACAUAGAGCCAGAACCUGGAACUGACACCAAGAUGGACAUGGAGAUGCUUCAGGCAGUCAGCAUGAUCUCGCAUGACAUCCAAAGAAUGCAAGCUACAAAAGGAUCAGCACCUCAAGGAAUUCUAAGGCAUUGCAAGAGACAGCUUCCUUGGUUAGACAAAUCCAAACAUGGAAAUCAACUUUUUGCAAGCAUCAGGAUAAGUGCUAAUAUCUUGGAGCGAGGAUGUGAAAACAAAUGACUUGUAACCCAGCAAAACUUUUGCCAUACAAAUUGAAUUCCAGAUAGCAAAUUAGGAUGUCACUGUCAUCUCUGUAAGCAAACUACUGACAAUUUCACCCAGGCAGAGGGAGAAAAGCAGCAGUGAGUUGAGACACCUCGCUGCAGUGCUGGACUUUCCCUGUGAAGCAGCACACAUCGCUUCCAAUGGAAUUCCAUUCUCCUUUACCGUAUCAUCAUGUGCAGACCUGAAACUGGCUCUGUUUAAAUGAUGCCUUCAAGAGGAUUAUACCAGGCUGUGUGGGGAAGAGUAUGAACAAGGUGCUGUCUUGACUCAGCUGCAGGUGGUUGGUGCACCUUGGCACAUUGAAGAUGGAAACUAACGAGCAGAUGAAAGGCGAAGCUGGGACUUUACAGUUCCGGCCCUCCCGGGCUGGAGUGUGCAUGGAAUGCGGCGGGACCCGGAGUGAGCCCAAGGACAAGCCCAGCCCUUCCCCGCCAGCGGGUGCUCCCUGAAACUACACACACAACUGCCCACCUCCAGCCUGCCCAAAGGGGGGCACUGAAGGUUCCCACCAUCUGACAGCCUGUUGCUAGAGGUCACCAAAGUGUCAGCGUUGCCUCUAGAAGAUGCUGAGAGUUAAAACGAGCUGGAAGGCACAUCUGCAGCCCCAGAUCAAUUUGUUCACGUUCCACUGAUGAGCUCGAAUGUGACAGGUGAGUGUUUAGGGGUGAAAAGAACUUUUCUCUUGUUCAGUAAAGCACCAACGUUCUUUGUUCAGCUCUUCUGGGAGCGUCUCAGCGGGACCCAAACCCCGCUGGGGAAGUCAUGUGGGCAGGAUUCCACCCCAAGGGAUGCUCCUGUGGGUGAUGGUGCGAGGUGGCAGCUGGUGGAAAACUGGGCUGAUGAUUCCCACGCCUGCCCAGUGGGGCAGAACCUGGGCUGCUCAGCUUGUAAACUUGAGAAAUGUGGAAUAAAAUGCAGAGUAAGAUCCUGACAAAGUGCAGUUUAACUAAAAACCAACUGAAAACCGACCACCACCACCCCCCCGUGAGCCACAGUGCCUGCAGCCUGCACCUGGGCCCUGGGGCUGCGGCUGGGAUCCCAAAAUUAAAGUAAUUUCUCUUUAAAAACAAAAAAGUUUUGUUUUUUCAAUGAUGUUGGCUUAUUCACAGCAGCAAACAUGUUUUCUUGUCUGUAGUAUCCGAUAAUGCAAUGUUGCACUCCCCUUGGGCACAGAACUCUGGACUGACAGUUCAUAGUAAAAAGCAGCUGAAGUGCUCUUGGAUGAAGUGAGUCCUUUGAACACACCGAGUAGUGAGGAUGUCUUUAGAAACGAUGGUGUGAUGUCAAACACUGAAGUCUGUAAGGCUGGGCUUGUAAGUAUAGCGCGUACUCUUCUCAUCCCCCUCCCUCUUUCCAGUCCUGCAUCUCCCUUGCUUCUUGUGUUCAGGACAGGAAAUGAAGAGAAUUCUUUCUAAGUUAAAAAUCAAAGCACUCCGAAAUUGUCAUAUACCCGUGACGGGAUUAAACUGAUGGCUUCCGAGGUGGCUGGAAAACUGCUAAUGAAAUGGCAUCAUCACCAGAGGGCUUCUGCACUGAGAAUCCCCAGACCUAGAACAAGUCAUUAAAAAUUGUGCAUCGAA